rnacentral:lncRNA from 1 species
GAUCUGCCUGAAUUGGGGCAACCCUCCAGCAGGCUGGGAGGGAGGGAUGAUCCCGGGAUUCCGGGCUUUGUAGGGUUGGAGCCCCCAGACGAGGUCGGUCCCUGCUUUGCCUGGAAAAGGCUGGCUUGACUGCUGAACUCUCCCAGUGGAGACAAGUAGGGUCUAAAAUGAAGGAAGAUAUCCUGUGCUCCAUGGGUCCGGCUCACCAAGCUAAGCUGCCUGCUCCUUGCUGGAGCUUCAGAAGGAAAUUUAGAAGGUCGAAAGAAAUCAUAUUGCUGUUUUCAAAGGAAGAGAGAUGCCUGCAAAAGGUGAUGAGGGGUGGGGGCUGCUUUCUGGGCGACUGCUUUUCCUUUGCUUGUCAGGGAUUUAAAAAACUAAAUAUUGUACGUUGUAUCGUUUCCCUCUCUCUCCCCCCUCUCUGAUUCUUUCCCCUCUCUCUCCCCCCACAUAUAUGUAUAUACACUAGCCAUAUACAAUACACACACACAUACACACAUACAGAAAAGAUGUGUUAAGCAAAAAAUUCCUCCCACAUAUAUACACGUCCAGAAAUACAUUUUAAGCCAAAGUACACAUGAUGUGUACUUGGGCUAAGGAUUUGAAUAGGUCCUGUGGAAAUCCCAAGGAAACACCGACAAUACAAGAAAAAAGAAAUGAAAACCUGAGUUCACCAACUCCAUAAAUGUAAAAAAAAAAAAAAAAAAAAAAUUGUAGACAGUUAAAAAUGUCCGCCCAUGUACACACGCACACCUACACUUUCACACUUCCUCUGUUUACUAAAUAACAUUUCAGCACAGUUUUCAUCUUAUAAGGAAAGUGUUUGAAACUUGGAAUAAGUGCACUUAAUUAAAGGAAGGCUGUGAAAAUGUGCACUAAUCUGAUAUGACUAAUAGCAAAGUGCAUGAAAUUGCUAAUUAGAAUUUCAUUAAAGGUGCUGCUUUAUCAGACUGUGAAUAUCACAACCUUUAAAAUUCUUUCAGGAGAGCUUAAUUCCUUUUCAAACAGAAAUAUUCUUUAAAGACAUUUGAUUUGUUCUGAAGGAAUUCGUGGCUUAGGCUGGAACUUAAAAUGUUGCGGAUAUUCUAGGAGGUGAUAUCAGAAUAGGAAUAUAGAUCAGGGACUUUGUUUCAUUUGCCUGAUGAAUCCCUUCCUCCCCCAUCUCUAUGGAUUAUUCUUCAAAAACCCAGUCAUGAAAAUAGAGUUGAGUCCUUGGUUUGAUCCACUUGUCAUUUGUUUUCUGCUGAGGCCAAACGGUUAUUUUCCGUCUCACACACAAAAGGGAAAAAUGACUUUAAAACAUUUUAAGCCACUGGAAAUGAAAGUAAACCAUUUAACUCACACAUUCAUUAAAAAAAUGAAAGAGCACAGACAAUAAAAUAGUUUUUUAAAGGAAAAGGCCAUUCACUAAAAAAAUGUCAGCUAGCAGCUUUCACUCUUUAAAGAAAAAAAAAAAACCUCUUAAAUACUGAUAACAUUUCAACCACAAAAUUGCAUUUUUUAAAAUUAGGAAAAGCCAGUGCUAACUACAGCAAAUGCAUUUUCACUCCUUUUUUGACUUGCUUUUCUAGGUCAUAAGUUUUCUUAUUUCACAUUCUAAUGAUUCUCGGCACUAAAUCUGCAUUUCAGCUUUUCUUUAUUUUUUAUUUUAUUUUAUUUUAUUUUAUUUUAUUUUUUUGCUACUCAGAUUUAAAAAUUCUACCUUUCUGGUCAUCUUUUCUGUUCUCAACCUUAUUUUCUGUGACUCCUCUUCAUUUUCAGAUGCAUCAAGUUGCUACAGUAUAUUGUUCUCCCUGCGCACAACUCUGGAUGUUACCAAUUGUAUUUCUGUUAUUUGCUGUUUUUCCUGAUGGUUCGAGAGUUCUUACAAUUGGUAACUGGGCUCUUUUCAACAUUCAGGCUUGAUUGAACAGUUACAUUUUGUUACUGAAAAACUAUUAAUGCUAAUGGAAACUACAGCUCACUCGAAGCGGCAGUUUACUUUUACAGAAGUUGUUAAAAACUCAGCCUGGCUUCAAAUUUGCUGAACACACAGGUUCCCGGUGAUGUAAUUUUGCAGAAUUGAAUAUUUUAAAUACACUUGAAAAGCGUUGGUUUAAAGGCUAAUCAGUCAUGUUUACCUGCUGACCAGAUCUGAAAGGGGAGGAAUGAGAACAGAAGUAACUUUAUUUGAGAAGCAGCGUGAUUUCUUUAGACAUUGAAACAAAUCUCAAGUGAGUUAAUUACGGUUUGCUCUGAUUUUAGGUCCAGCCAGAGGAGUUUUCGUGGCAUUUAGAUAAUUUAUCAAUUGGGCUACGUAACAGAUAAAAGGUUACGUUUUCCUUUCCAACAUUUGGGAGGUGCAUUUGUACCGUAAAUGCGACGAUUUUAAAAGAUCGGUCUAGACUUAGAUGAAUGAAAAUGAGGCUCGUUAACUGUAAUGUCUGGAGUCCGAGGUGGGGCGCAAAGCAAGCCUUGCUAUCCGUGGGCCGCCGUAGUCAAACGAAGCUGCUAAUUCGAAUGUUUCAAGUUUCGAAUUGAGAAAUAUUGUUCCAAUAGGGCAACAAUGGGGCUGUUGUCCCGGCCCCUUACAGCUUGUUUUAUGCAAAACGAAUGGCAGGUAAUUGUGAUUUAAUUCUUUUCAAGUAAAUUACAGUGAGUGCGUGACACAAAGCCGCGGCGGACCCUCCUUUCUCUGUCAGUAGUUGAAUUAAUGGUGGCAGGAGUAAAAACAGCGAUUGUGCACAACAGCCCUCCCCGGUCCCCACCCCUGCCAAGGGGGGACCUGCCAAUCAGGCCGCGCCACCACGAGGCCGGCAAUCGUCGGGAUGCGGAGGUUCGCGGAUGGACCCUCCUGGUGUCUCGGCCCGGGGGUCACGGAGCCCGGGGCCGCCCCCUCCCCCCCCCCGGGGCCGCCCCCCGGGGCCGAGGUGCCCGCAGGGGUCCGCGUCUGCGCGCUACGGGCCGGGGCGCCCCCCGCUUGGGCGCCCUGGGCUCCGUGCCCCCCGGGCUGGCCUGUAGAGCUGGAUUUGCGCGGCAGAGUUGACGGCAGAAAGGGCUCCCCGGUAACCUGGCGGUGCUGGCCGCCCCGAGAGGCGCCCCGAGGGCUCCCGGAGGAGGCGGCGUGGCCGAGCGAGGAGUGCGGGGAGGCCGAUCUUUGAGCCCCGUCUGGGCGCGGCGCUGGAUGGCUGGGGUCUGCGCGCGUCCCUGCGGUCGGAGGGGCCCGAGACCAGAGCCGCCGCGCGCGCACAGCGCCAGGUCUCGUCCCCAAACCCAUGGUGCCCGGUCGGAAGGGAGGCGCGGGGUGGGGGUGGGGCGAGGGGAUGGGCCCAGGAGGUGUGUGUGUGGGGGGGGGGCGCCGGUAGUGUCUGUCCGAAGAGGGGCGCCUGCCCAGUGUCCUGUCCGCAGGCUCACCGCCGGCAGCCUGGUGCACAAGAAGGCUGCCAAUAGUCACUGACCUGACCGCCGACAUACUGUGUGAACUGGUCGCUUCCCGUUGGCCUUGAACAAAAUCCCAGCUCCUUUCCGAGGCCCACGGGGGCUGUGUCUUCCAGCUUUUGCCUGGGAUCUCCUCCAGUGAACUCUGGAUGUGGGAUGUCCCCGGGUGGAAUCCUGCCUGCCCUGUCCUCCGUGGGUAACUCUGGGCAGGUUGCUGAACCUCUCUGGCCUCAGCCUCCACGACCUAAAUGGAGUUGCUAAUGGAACCCUGCCUUCAAGGGUCCUCAAGGGCACUUAAUGAACUGCCAGUCGAGUGCCAGCAUGGUGCCAGGCACAGGGUGCCUACAAAUGUUAGCGGGUCUCACCCCACCCCUGCCACAUACAUGUUUUCCUUUCCUUGGACCUCCCUAAAUGAGUCCCUGCCCCAGUGCCUUUGCACUUGGAGGUGGAGCUCUUCCCUUGUUCCCCCGGCUUCUGUUUCAGACUUCAGCCUAGCGGUCCCCUCUGAGACCUCUUCGCGACCACCUGCCUUUCCCAUCCCACCCAUCACGAUUGCAAAGCUCUUCGUUUUCUUCCUAAUGUUUAUCCUGAUCGGAAUGUUUUUCUCUAUUUGCUCUGGGUUUAUUGUCUGUCUCCUCCUCAAAGCAGAAGUUGUAGGAGAUGGGGAUCUUGUUUGUCUCGUCCUCUGCAGGUCCCGGCACCUUGGCCAGUGUCUGCUACGUAGCAGGGGUACUCUGUAAAAACUGUAGAUGGGUGAACGGAGUCGCAUCUCCCGGCCUGCACAUCAAAGUAGUUGAACCACCUCGUGUCUAAGUGCCUACUUCUGUUGUUCAAUGAGAGGAAUUGUCAGCAUAUUAGUUAGAUUUUUUUUUUUACAUAAAAAAAAAAGACGGUAAUUUUCUGAACGAGGUUCAGGUUUUCGAGAAGGCUGUCAAUUAGAGACUUUACUCGGUGUCCUGAUCUUUCCACUAGUUUUGACCAUGAGGCUGGAGUCGGUUCUUUUUUGAGCUCUCCCUGUGGCCCCUGAACCUGGGAAGGGACGGAGGGGCCUUCUGGAUUGGCUCCCCAGUCCUGACGUCUUCCCCGAUGGCCCGGGACCGCUGUAGACCUCCACCCCAGGGCGCAGCAAUGUCCCAGCUGCAUGUCAAGCUACCCGCUGCAUCAUGGGCCACGGGCCUUUUGUCCUCAACCUCCCCCCGUCAGAGCUUUUCUGCUCUUUUCAUUGUCCCUCUUUGGCUUUAAUCGCAGAUUCACACCUGUCUUUCGCCCUCCCCAGAGCCAGCGCCUCUAUUAGACGGGCUACCGCUGGGCUUGCCAGGCCGUGUGAAGGAGCCGAGAGAGGCUGGGUGGGGCUGCCUCGGCAUCUCAGCUCAUGGUGGGGAGAUGAGUCAACUGGCUGGGGUCACCGUGUCUCCGUGCCCGAGCUGGAGCCAGGGACAGAGUAUUUCUGGAAAGCCCGGCCUGGCUCCCCAUCUCACGCUAUUUAUUUCCUCGGUGAGGUCACGAUAAACCAUGAGUAUCUCGGACAAGGUCACCAUCCUUGGCGGCCGGCUCCCAUGCCGGGGUCGCGUCUUUGGGAAAGACUUUGAAGACCGCUGGCUCUCCGGAGAGCGGAGGGGGAUGGUCUCAGAGCACACACGGAGCUCACCAAGGUCACACAGCCGGAGACGGAUGGGGUCUGAACCCGGGACUAGAGCCUGCACUCCUAAUCACCACGCUGCGCUGAACCUCUGUCUCGGUCUCUGCCCUCCAGGGUCAUGGAGCAUCAGAAGCAAAGACAGGAGGGGGGUGAGGGGCUGUGGUUCCCCGCACAGGGUGUCAGUAGUGCUACGUAAUGGCUCUUCCUAGAUCCACCAGGCCCUGUGCUAAUUGCUCUGCACACAUCACAGCACCUUAAGACGCAGGAAGUCACAUCGCCUCCACUUUACGGAUAAGACGCAGAGAGGUCCUGCAGCCUGCCCGAGGUCUCAGGGCCGGUAAAUGGCAGAACCCCCAGAGCCUCGCUCCGGGGCCCCUGCUCUGAUCCCUGCCGGGUGUGAGGAAAGCCUCAGCCUCAAAGUCCGGGUGCCCGGGAGAAUGCUGAGCCCCUUCGGUGUCACCAAAAACACCCGGCAUUUGGAGCCAGAGGACUUGGCCUCGAGCCCCGGGGCGGCUGCUUGCUAACUGAAACCCCUGGGGAGUCUCCAUUUCCUGUAAGAUGAGGGUCAUGAGGCCAGCUCUACCUGUCUUCCAGGGCCACCCGUGAGGAUUAACGACGAUAAUGUCCAGGGACGUGAGCGGUGAAGCGCAAACUGCUGGCCUCAGAAAACAUUCAGUUCUGUGGGCGCUGGUCCGCGAGGUCACUGUGGGAACCAGUGACUGGCCUACCUCAAAGAUCCUGCCACACGGCCCCGGGGAAAAACGAAGGGGGGGUUAUUUUCAUUGCGAAACAAAUGACUAUAAUGAGGUGUCUCGUUUGGUGAUACAGAUGAUUAGACAAUUCAGUCGGUUACAGUCGGGGACUUUUUGUUUGUUGGUUUCUUUUUUUUUUUUUUUUAACGUUUAUUUAUUUUUGAGACAGAGAGAGACAGAGCAUGAACAGGGGAGGGUCAGAGAGAGGGAGACACAGAAUCCGAAACAGGCUCCAGGCUCUGAGCUGUUAGCACAGAGCCCGACGCGGGGCUCGAACUCACGGACCGCGAGAUCCUGCCCUGAGCGGGAGUCGGACGCUUAACCGACCGAGCCACCCAGGCGCCCCUGUUUGUUGGUUUCUAAGACGACUGCAUUCAAACGCCCCUGGGCCCACACUUGGAUUUAUUUGGCUUCAUGCCAGACCCCGUGCUUGGUGCUUCCUGUGCUCACCCCCCAGGCCUUCUUAUAGUCCUGUGAUGUGAGACUGACAUUGCACCCAUUUUACAGGCCGAGCAACUGAGGGGUAGAACAACUGGGGCUAGUGAAUGGAGGGGCUGGUCCUGAACCAAGUCGGGCUGACUCCUGUGUUGGCAUUUUGCCACAGUUUCACAGGUGCAGGUGCAGACCUGACGUGGGCGGCGGUGGGGGGUGGGAGGGGGUGGUUCCCUCUGGUCCCCUGCUUCUGAACAUUUGGCCUUAGUUCUACCUUUGUCUGGGCGUCCACGUCCCUUAACCUCGGUGCUUUCCUAUCCUCCACCCCGCCUUCCUGAGUCUCGGGGUCCGCUGGAGGUCAACACCUUGGCCUCGUACAAGGCGCAAGGCAAGGGGACGUGCUCUCCCGUCCCCAGGGCCUCACCCUGGGUGAAACAAUACCUCAGAGGGCCAGGGUGGCUUGAGGAGACGUGGUGUCGCCUUGGUUCCCCUCCACGUCCGCCCCAGAUCUGCUCCUGGCCCCGUUAACCGAAUUUAUUUUGGCUUAAGUGAGGCAGUGGCUGGAGACCGUAAAACACCUACCUUCGUGAAACCAUCAGGAGGCUCGAAUGGGGUUGUGAAGGGGACGCAGCCAUCUUCCACGGGCUGCUGGGCUCGGUCGUGGCUGGUGACACUGCUGGUGUGUCCACGUGUCCUUGGGCGGAUUCCCACGGUCAGGCUCUGACUUCUGAGGGAGAGGGGGGCAGGCCUGGGCUGCAUGGCGGGGGCAUGAGAAUGAAGGAAACGCCUUCUCUGUUUGCCUCGACUUCGUGGGUGGCCUCGAGCAACCGGGUGCUGAAUGAGUGCACGCACGGGUUGGGGGAGGGCACGCCCACAGAACGGGCGUAGUCACUAGGGUCGGGGUCCCUGUGCCCCCGCUUACUAGCUGUGGGGCCUUGGGAAAGUUGGCUAACUUCUCCGCACCUCCAUUUUCUCAUCCAUCAAGCUGAGAUAACAGCUGGAUGAAUCUUACAAGGUCGGUGGGAGGAGCUCAUGAUGCAGUGCGUGGAAAAGCCUUCUGAAUGACGUCUGGCGCAGAGUACGUCCGUACGUGUUAGCUGACCCCAAAGUACCAGCUCAAAAUGAUCCGCUCCACUCACAUUUGCUUUCCCACUCAAAAUGCGUCAGGCACGAAAGGCACAAAAUGGAGUGCCUUCAAGACUGUAUGGUGACAAGAGACAGGCGUGAGGUGUAAUUCUGGGCUCCACCGUUCACCCCCGUGUGAUCCUCUGUAAGUGGCUUAGUCUUGCGACCUUCGCUUUCCUUCCCUAUAAAAUGGAUACCAAAUAAAAGAUCUACUAAGAGUGAGGACUAAAUGAACAAUGUACAUAAAGUUAAUGGUAUUUCUUCUUCUCUCGACCUUUCUUCCCCCCCGUUCAAGUCCUUUUUGAAAGGCUAUGUGUUCUCCAAACCAGUUUUCCUUCCCUCCUGGGUACCUAGGAAGACUACAUUUCCCAACCUCCUUUGCAAUCAGGGGUGCCAUGUGACCGAGUUCCGGCCAGUGGAAUGUGGGCGGGAGUAACAUAUGCUGCUUCCAGGCCUGGCCCCUGAAGUUUCUUGUAAGAUCUUUCAUGCACAUUUCCUCCCUCCCUCUGCCAACUGAAUGUCAGUGCUCAGGGUGACCUGGGAAGCCGCAUGCUGGAGACGGUGGAGCUCCUGUCAGCAGAGACCUGCUCUUUUUUUUUUUUUAAUGUUUAUUUUUAUUUUUGAGAGAGACAGAAUGUGAACGGGGAAGGGGCAGAGAGAGAGAGAGAGAGAGAGAGACAGGAGACACAGAAUCCAAAGCAGGCUCCAGGCUCUGAGCCAUCAGCACAGAGCCCGACGCAGGGCUUGAACUGCCGAACCGUGAGAUCAUGACCUGAGCCGAAGUCGGACGCUUAGCAUCCUGACCCCGGGCACCCAGUAGAGCCCUGCUCUUCAUCACCUACUCUUUAUCGGUCUGCUGGGGCUGUGACACGUUGCAUUAGGCCAUUGAGAUGCAGGGGUUGUUACCGCAGCUAGAGGUUAGCCUAUCCUGACAUAUACAGAAUCUUACAGAACCUCUACCUAACGUAUACCCCUCCAUACAUUCAUACAGGAUUUUGCACGUAUUUGAGAGUCUUUCUGGGUCCCAGCUCCCCUUCAGCUGGUCCACGUGUCCACGUGGCCCAAGGUGAGGACCUCAACUGCCUUCAGGAAUAACACCCAGCAGAACGUGGUGGUGAAACAGUCCUGGGAACAACUCUCCGGCUUCAGGGCCUCCCUGCAGCAGAGAGGUUCUGAAGGCAACUCCCUACUUAAGGUGGCUUAGUGGCAGCCUAGGGUCUCAGGGCAGAGGUGUCCCAAGAAGGCAUCACUAAUCAUACAGGCGCUCUCCUUCAUGCCACCGAUGCCAAAGUGCUUGCUCUCAUCCCCGUGGCACGACCAGCAGCUCUGAUGGAUCACAGGUGACAGACCGGUCAGCAGCUCCUCCCGGCUGAGUCUCUGGGGCUUUGCUCAGGGCCCCCGUGCCUGCGGCCCUGCCCUCCUGCCCUGGAGCAGACCCGCUCUUUCUGUCCUGCCCCCCCUGGUAAGUUGAGCGCCCCCUGGAGGUCGGGGCUGUGUGGCAACCCUCGCCUUUCUCCUCACAGCGGCUGCAGGGUUGGGGGGCGGCAGGUGUCACUUGUUUUGCACAAGGUUGUUGAUUCCAGGGGUCAAGGACCAUCAUCAUGGCGUGCUAGAAAAGUAAAUAUUCUCAGCUUGGGGGAAGGUUAUAUUAAUUAAAAAUAACAUUAUUAUUACUAUAUUGAAUGUCUGUUCUGUUCCGGGCCCAUCUGUUAUUUCAUUAAAUCCUUCCCCAUAAUCCUAUCAGGUGAGUUUUUCAUAGCCCGUGUUCCAGGUGGGGAGGUGGAGGCGUCGAAAGGCCAGACCCGGGGUCCACAGCUGCACGACGUGGUUUACGGGCUCAACCAAGGUCAAUCCAAAGGUAAUGGGAGCAGACUUUUUCUAGGCCCCCAACGUGUGCUAGGGACCACGUCUCUCAAGUGCUUUUGAUGAAUUAUUCCAUUUAAUUCUGACAAUUUCUUUACAGAGUGGGGACUAUCGUUAUUCCCAUUCACAGGUGAGAACACCACGGCUCAGCGAGGCUAAUUUACUCGUUUCCCCCAAGGUUUCAUGGUUAAGAGAGGAGGUGCCCGGAUUCAAAUUGCAGUCAUUCUUUACAGCCUGUGCCGUCCCUCACUGGGCACCCGGCAAUGCCUCCUUCUACCGCGUGGCAAGCACAGUGAGGACCAGGUAAAUACUCUUCCAGGGGCUGUGACUUUGGGGUGGGGAACCACCCUCUGGGCAAGUCGAUAGCCUGCUUGGGUCAACACCUCCUCUGUGUUGUGCAAACUCGGGCCCUAAGCCCCGCGAGGAAAACGAGAGAGGCCCAGCCUCAAGGCGUUGCCAUGCCGGUAGAGAAGAGAGCUGUGUGCCUGCACCUGCUGCCUGAAUAAGUCAGUGCGGUGGAAAAUGUGGACGGUGCAAACCUCAGAGGACAAAGGGCACCCGGGUAAAGGCAGGGAUGGCUUUACCACGGAAGUGGAAUUGAGAUGAGCGUUGUCUACUUGGAUUUAAAUCCCAGCUAGCCCAGUGACCUUGGGGUGGUUCGCUAGCUUCUCUGACCCUCAGUUUUGCCAUCUGUAAAAUGGAAAUAGUAAAGGUACCUACCUUACAGGUUAGGUUAAACGGCGUGAAAUAAUACCAUUUAAGAUGCUUGGAAUAUAGGAAGCUCUGUAUUAUGUACUUAUUUACUCUUUUCAUUGUCAAGGGCUAGUAGAGUUUCAGUGGGUGAAGAGAGGCGUCACACACCAAGUGAACGCCCUGAGCAAAGCGAGAGGUGUUUUUAAAGAAUACUAAGUAGCUCAAUCUGGCUGGUUGAUAUGGUAGCAAUAGAAGAUGAGGCUAGAAAGAGAGUCCGGGCUCAGGUUGAUGAGUAUAUACUUAACGAGCAAUGGGGAGCCAUUGAAUGCUGUUGAGCAGGGGAGUUUCACAGCCGGAACUAGGUUCGGCUGCAGAACGUAGGGUGGACUUGGAAGGGGGGUGAUGGGAGAAGCCCAGUGGAAAAUUAUUGCCAUAGGCCAGGGGAGAGGGUGGUGACAGCUAGCAGGGCAAGGAAAGCAUGAAUUGGCACUCGUGGUAGAGGGAGGUAUUGUUAGACACACCCUUGGCCAAGAGCAGGCGUGGAAAUGGUGCCCAUCCAGGCCCAACUGAGUGGCUGGGAACCCGCAGCAGGGCUUUCCCUUCGCAGGCCCAGGCUUGGGAUGCAGUCCCUCUGGGCGUCACAUCAUCAGUGGCAUCUUUGUGCCAAGAAAGACGUAAAUGAAAGGUAGAGAAAUGGGGGACCAGCCUCCUUUGGUCCUGAGAACCCAGGGCAUCUGGUAUCCUCAGGGUGGAAAAGCUCUUUGAUGGUCCAAAAACAGGUUCCAGAGGACUCCCUUUGGAAGGGAAAAGGGAGGCAGGCUCCUUUUGGGUUCUCAUCCAGGUUUUUGAAGAGCCAAGCAGACUGGGGAGAGCUUCCUGUCCGAGGCGUGUUCUAUCUUAACCUUUCCGUGUAAUCCUGAAAGCCCACCUGAUCAAUUGAAGAUCAUAAAAUAUUAGACUUAAUGCUGCAAAGUGCUGCUUUUUAAUUCACAUAACAAGCUCCUAAAUAAUUCAAAUAGCAAACAGACCCUGCAAGUCAAUGGUGGGAGGCUGCUUGGAUCAGCGGGAGAGUGUCAGCACAUGCCACAUUUCCCGGAUCGACUCCAUUUCAAGAACCCUAUUAAGUUAAUUGCCGGUUUCUGACAGCAGAGAGCAUGCUGGGAGCACAGCGAGCUUUAUUAGCCUGUGUGGCAUCUGGAGACAUCAGCCAUUUUGCCCCUACUUGCAGGCGCUGGGAGCAGCAUGGAAAAAAGUAAAUCAAAUUACGAGACAAUAAACGCUUGUGGCAACUCACGGGCAUCAGACCCAUCAGUGAAUCCAAAGGGGUUCGGGUGUCAGUUGCUGGCCUGUUAGAUUCUUUACAGCAGCACCAUCUACACGUUGCAAGAGUCUCGCAGGAUGCCACGAGACUCUGGCACCGCACGGCCGACAGGUGGAGGGUGAUGCGGGCGAGGGUUGCCCGCCCCCUGACACCGCUGGGUAAACAGAGUCUCUAGGACGGGAGUUGUUAUCCCACGUGGGCAGUGUUACACGCUUAGGUUUGUAAGCGGACGUUCCUGGGUUGGGGGACCCAGGGGACACCCGUGGCGUUCUGGAGCCGGGCAGGGGUGGGCAGGGAAGGGAAGGCGUGUCAAGGUCGCCCGCCAUCUGUCCAUCCGGAGGUCCCCGAGCAGGGCACCGUUCCACGGCUGCGGGAGCUCCCCGUGGCAGCCGGGGUGUAUGGAGUAUGGAGCGGGGCGGAACAUCCUGGAAGCUUGGAGAUCGACCAGCAGGUGCCAUUCUGCAGAGCGGCGCUCUGAGCUCUCCAAUGCCUGCCUUUGACACAUGAGAAAACGCAGGCAAAGAGAGACUCCGAGACUGCCCCAAGGUCACACAGCCAGCCACUGACAGCUGAUUCGAGGACGAAGUUCGGUUCUGUUGCCCGACCUCAUCCCAUUCGUGUGUUUCUCUUUCAGGUGUGACGGGGUGAUGGCGACGGCCUAGAUUAGAUCAAGAUCAGAGUCCUGGCACUAGCACUGAUUGUCAGCGUGACCUCAGUUUAAGCAAGAUCUGUGACUUUGCCGUCUCUCUACCCUGCCGGCAGAGUGAAGACAGGAGCGCUUGCCUGAUGGGGUUCUCCUGGCAAGGACUGAAUUAGUGACGCAUGUUAAGUACGUGGUUAAGGCCUCAUGCUCGGUAGCUAACGCUCAACGUAAUUUGCUUCCCAUCAUCCAUAGGAGCAAGGCUCGGAUGAGCAAGAUUAUUUGUAUUUCUAGACGAUUCUUAUUCUUUUUUUUUUUCAACGUUUAUUUAUUUUUGGGACAGAGAGAGACAGAGCAUGAACGGGGGAGGGGCAGAGAGAGAGGGAGACACAGAAUCGGAAACAGGCUCCAGGCUCUGAGCCAUCAGCCCAGAGCCUGACGCGGGGCUCGAACUCACGGACCGCGAGAUCGUGACCUGGCUGAAGUCGGACGCUUAACCGACUGCGCCACCCAGGCGCCCCUCUAGACGAUUCUUUUACAAGCCGACCGUCUUCCAGUUUGUAGGGUUUGCACAUCUGAACUGUUUCAUCACGUUUGCAUAAAGGGAGUCAAACUACUCUCUCAGAUCUCUUCUCACCCCCUAUCCUCAGAUCUGGCCUUACAGUCUGCAGAAAUGAUGUUUCUCCCUGACGCAGGCCGUCAAAAUGAUAGGGUACAAUUGGAAAGACUAUCCGAGAAUGGCUGGCAGGGGUGAGGAGGGUGGGGGCAAGAUCGGCAGCAGGCGUAAGUGGGGCAGGCGGAUUGGCUGUUCCGAUCCUGGUUUUCCAGCCGCUCUGCGUCACGGGAGGGCUGUGCUUUGAUGCUGGAAGGGGUCUGAGGCACGGGGUUUGGCAGCCGCAUUUCACGGGUGGGGAGACUGAGGCCCAGAAAGGGGCAGUGACUCGCCUGAGGUCACACGGCCGGUUAGUGAGGAAGCCAGUGACAGGCGCCGGCUCCUCCUUCCUGCUUCUGCGUUCUUUCUAGUUCAGCUGGGAGUGACCUUCGGGACCCUAGAGAGGAUUUCACCCUACCUGGGAAGAGGUGGACCACUGCCGUCUGGCCGGAGCCUUGCUCCCCCCCUGCGUUCCCAGAGAGACGAUGUGCCGUUGCCCCAAAACCUCUCUCCGGAAACAGUGGCAGUUCAGAACUAAUCUACAAAAACAAUAAGAGCUAUCAUUUCUGAGGGUUGAAUUCCAGGCACUUUAUUUAUAGUUUUCUAACCCUUUGAGGUAGGUGUUACUAUGAUUCUCAUUUUGCAGAGGAGGAAACUGAGGCUUAAGUGUUAAGUGGCCUCCCCAAAGUCACCCAGCUAGCAAGUCAGAGGUAGGGUUCGAACCACGGUUCAUUUUGACUUAUGCUCUUUUCCUGUGGCAGCACCCACCCCCCUAUUAGAUUCUGGCUUACGCUAGAAGUCUCCAGAAGGUGACACGGGGAGAGACGGAUCACUCACCUGGGGUCCAGCACUAGCCAAGUUUGGUAGGCGCCCGCCGGGAGGUGUGCCGGACCCUCACCCUGCGCCAUGAUGUUCUGUCCCCUUCCUGUCCCCCUCCCACCUGUGUCUCCUGCCGAGGACAGAUCGGUGGCUAGGGACCCGGGCUCCUCUUUCACACACUCGUAGCCUCUAGUAACUAAGCCUCUAGUAACUAAGUACAUUUUCUGUUAGGAUUAACAGAAAAUGUACCUAACAGAAAAUGCAAAGCACAGUGGCUUAAGUGCAUAAAGGUGUCCCUCUGAUGUGCAAGAGGUCCUGGUAUGGUAGCUUCACGAUCAUCUGGGGCUCAGGCUGUGUCCCUCCGCCUGCUCUGCCACUCCCCACAUUUGGCUCCUGUCCUCAGUGUUGCAGAAUGCCUGCUGCAGCUCCAGCCAUCGUGUCCACAUUCCAGGUAGCAGGAAGGAGGAAGAGGGCAAAGCGAAAGCGUCUUUCUCUAAUUGUCUCUUCUCCCUUCCAGAGAACCUUUCCAGGAUUCCUUUCCUAGGAGCUUCUCUUGCUUCACUGGCGGGAACACAGUCGUGUGGCCACACCAGGCUGCGGGACAGGACGGGAAGCAGGUUCUGUAACUGGGCGCAUCACUGCCUCAAGACCGUGGACGCUUGUGAGUGAGGCAGAAUGGGUGCCGGGGAACCAGACUCUGCCACAGCGCAACUGGGUCACCUCGCCCACUUGCCAAAGGGCGGAUGGCGGAGAGAGGUGGCGUUUUGAGUGAGAGAAAACUCAAGCCACCUUUGGCGAGAAUCUUAGAUGUCGCUCUGAGAUAACUGGAAAUGCCACAGACCUAGGGUUGCAACCCCUGUGCUUUCUGGGGCUGUUUGUUCUGGGGACGGCCACCGUGAUGGAAUCAACGGUACUUCGCACCUGUCACCGGCUUGUCCCACACGGUCCCUUUUCAGAGCGUGGAUAAGUUGUAUUUCUCUGGAUGUCUGCUCCUCGUGACACAUUUAUCCUGUGGGUCUCCCGAGGUGGAUUGGAGGAAUGGGUUUCUUGGUCUGCAGGCUGCUGACGAUCAGCGGGCUCUGGAAACGAACACAGAUGUCACUGUGCCAGCUCUGUCUAUGCACCAGGCACUAUACACGUGGCAGGUCCCACCAUCCUGACAACAGACCUACAGCCAGGGGGACUCUGAUCCCGUUUUGCAGAUGCAACGUGAAGGCUCAGAGAGGCUAAGCGGCUUGCCCGAGAUCACACAGCUGGUGCUAUGGACUGAGUGUUUAUGUCCCCCCGACCGCCCAACGCCGGCCCAAAUGUAUAUGCUGCAGCCCUAAUCCCCAGUGUGGUGGUGUUUGCGGGGUGGGCAUUUCAGGGGGUAAUUAGGUUUGGAUGCGGCCGUGAGGGUAGAGCUCCCAUGAUGGGACUGGCGCCCUCAUGAAGGGGCGAAAGGCGCCGAGCUUUCUCUCCCGCUCUGCCGUCAGAGGACGCGGUGAGAAGGCAGCCGUCGGCAAUCCAGGAAGAGAGGCUUCACCAGAAACCAGCCGUGUUGGCGCCCUGACCUCAGACUUCAGCCUCCAGAACCGCGAGGAACUGAUGUCUGCUGUUUAAGCCACCAGGCUGUGGUGUUUCCGUUAUGGUGGCCGAGCUAAGACAGCUGGUAACUACCGAGAGCCCAAGGUUGUUCUUUCUCCCGCCCUCUGCCCCGACACUGGGCGCAUUCCCCAAACUCACCCUCACUCCCCUUGUGGGUCCUGGCUCCUAUGACCGCGGGGACAUCACAGAGACCUCCGGGCACGGGCUGUGGUCUAGAGGUCCUUCUUGUCUCCCCUCCUCCUCUUUUCUCCUCCGCUCCUGUCGUCUUAGAAAGACCCCUGUGGGAGUCCAGCCCCAUCACCUGGCCCCCAUGUGGGCCUGGGUCAGUCACGUCUCCUUUCUGGGCCCCACGUGGCCCCGGCCCGGGGCCCAGCCCCCUUCCCCAGUCUGCACUCACACGCAGCCCUGUGGAAAUGGUGGCGCUCCCCACAUUAGGACCCACGUGUCUGCUGGCUGGGACCAAGGGUCAUAAAUAGGAAUAAAACUUAGGCUGUCCUUGUCCCCAUCUCGGUGAGUGAAGCCCCCGAAUCUGAGGACAAAACCAGAAGCCCUCUUCUUCGAGCCCCAAGGGACAGGAAGGGCUGCGUGUGCGGCUGAGGCCCUGCUCUCCCCCCCACCCCUCCCCGACCCCCCGGGUGUCACAGGCUUCCAUAUACAUAAUCUAAAUAUAUGCUUUGGAAAUUGAAAACGUUCACAUAUAGAAUGCGGCUGUGGGGAGGGAAUGCUCUCUUGGAACAUGUCUCUUUAAAGACAGAAUGUGCCCAAGUGUUUUCCUGCCCUUAAGGAGACACUUGAACGUGGCAGCAGAUGUAAAAUGGAAAUUGGAGUGUCUCUCCCAGGCCACCGUACAUGGAGAAAACAGCGCAAUCUAUUCUAAGCGCUCAUUAAUAGCUGGUCUCUGAGGGCCCCGGCAGCAGACAGAGGAUUUUACUCAUUAAAAAGGUGACGAGGUAGCGUUUUGUGCCUUCCCUGCUUGUCACUGCGUGAUCCUGGUGUUCAGAUGUCGCUGGCAGACCCCAGAUGAGUGCCCCCGGCUUGCGGGCAUGGGUGACGAUGUUCUGAAAGGCUUCAAAGCAUCCCCCACUCACUGAUGGGGCCACAAGCCCUUGCUGUUUAUCAAGUGGAUUCGUCUCUCUUCCGAGGCGGGCCCACGAUGGCAUUGUCUCGAGAAGGAAGCAGAGAGAAGAGCUUUAGCUCAUCACCUAAUACAAGAUCGUUGGUGAUUCCCAACACGGUCCUCCAGAUGGCACCGCGAAGGACCCGGAGCCUCCAGGCGUGGUCUGGGGCAGGGGCCUGGGGUCCUCGGUGAAGUCUGGAAGGGGCCGGACCCUUGGCAGUCGAAGGCACUGGCUGAAAGACAUCUCAGCUGUGCCCACUUGGACAGGGGCCUCUGGUUUUAGAGAAAGGGGGUUCUUGGCUCAUUUUUUACCCCUACUUUUUAUUUGUUCUUUUUUAAAAGUUUAUUUAUUUUGAGAGAGAGAGAGAGAGAGAGAGAGAGAGAGAGAGAAAGAACGUGCUUGCACAAGCAGGGGAGGGCCAGAGAGAGAGGGAGGGAGAGAAUCCCAAACAGGCACCACACGGUC